AGUGAACGCUGGCGGUAGGCCUAACACAUGCAAGUCGAACGGCAGCACAGUAAGAGCUUGCUCUUACGGGUGGCGAGUGGCGGACGGGUGAGGAAUACAUCGGAAUCUACUUUUUCGUGGGGGAUAACGUAGGGAAACUUACGCUAAUACCGCAUACGACCUACGGGUGAAAGCAGGGGAUCUUCGGACCUUGCGCGAUUGAAUGAGCCGAUGUCGGAUUAGCUAGUUGGCGGGGUAAAGGCCCACCAAGGCGACGAUCCGUAGCUGGUCUGAGAGGAUGAUCAGCCACACUGGAACUGAGACACGGUCCAGACUCCUACGGGAGGCAGCAGUGGGGAAUAUUGGACAAUGGGCGCAAGCCUGAUCCAGCCAUACCGCGGGGGUGAAGAAGGCCUGCGGGUGGUAAAGCCCUUUUGUUGGGAAAGAAAAGCAGCAGGUUAAGACCCCGCUGUUCUGACGGGACCCAAAGAAUAAGCACCGGCUAACUUCGU
rnacentral:rRNA from 1 species